AACGAACGCUGGCGGCAGGCCUAACACAUGCAAGUCGAGCGGACCUUUCGGGGUCAGCGGCGGACGGGUGAGUAACGCGUGGGAAUAUGCCCUACUCUACGGAAUAGUCCUGGGAAACUGGGGGUAAUACCGUAUACGCCCCUUGGGGGAAAGAUUUAUCGGGGAAGGAUUAGCCCGCGUUGGAUUAGGUAGUUGGUGGGGUAAUGGCCUACCAAGCCGACGAUCCAUAGCUGGUUUGAGAGGAUGAUCAGCGACACUGGGACUGAGACACGGCCCAGACUCCUACGGGAGGCAGCAGUGGGGAAUCUUAGACAAUGGGGGCAACCCUGAUCGAGCCAUGCCGCGUGAGUGAUGAAGGCCUUAGGGUUGUAAAGCUCUUUCAGCUGGGAAGAUAAUGACGGUACCAGCAGAAGAAGCCCCGGCUAACUCCGUG
rnacentral:rRNA from 1 species